rnacentral:other from 1 species
GGCAUCCUGCCUUGUUCGAUUUGUUGCGGCUUGAUAUAAUCCUACUAAUCAAUCAUCGGGAGCCCGGACUGGUCCGGCAGCGGAUUGCAGACCUCCCGCCUCUGGCGGAAGAAGGGAGCAUGAUCCUGCUGGCAGGGCACCCACCUGCCAUACAGGUAGGUUUUGAUUGGUCGCAGACGGCAAGGCGGGUUGUUU